UCUGCCAGUUUCUGCCAAACCUCUAGGUGAACAAAUGAACAACAAUGGCACUACACGUACAGUCUUCGUUCACAGCUGUUUUGACAGCAAUUUCAAAUUGCUGAGGUGGCCACGUGAUAUCCGAAUUAAAGAAGACGAAGAAGGCUGUAAAUCAUUUCACCACACCCAGCCCAUUUAAACCCCCUUUCACUGACCUAUUUCCCAUUGCUUUCAUUUAUCCCCAAAUCAAUUCAGGCCGCAAGACAAAGAAAAAAAGCGUGAGGAAAAUUCUUGUAAAUUUGUUGGAAAAUAAGCGCGAGGAAAAUACGCCCUCUUUGUCCGAACCCAAUUCCACCUCCCACGACGCAGCACUGAUCGUAAAAAUCCGACGAAGUGCGAUGUCAUAGUGGACAGCUUCUGGUGUUUUGCGGUUCUUAGUGAGUUAACUAAGGAAGAUAGGAAGUAGUGAAUACAUUUAGCAGCUUUCGGGGUAACCUGGAGUGUGGAGCUGGUGGGUUUGGAGAAGGAAGAGAAACGGAUAGAGUGUUUAUUGUGCAUUAGUAUUGAAAGUUUGGGGAAGAUGGACGACAUGGUGGCUUGUGAAGAUGAUGGCCACGAGUGGUGGAGGAGAAAGCACAACGCCGGUGAGAGCCAUUACUUUCCCGCCAAAGGUUUGGAUGAAAGUGAAACUCGUGCAAGGGAGUAAUCCCCAAGUAAAGAAUAGAGCUCAAUUCCAAGUUUUCCAACUCACUGCUCCAGCACCUCAAUUCAGCCCCAGCUCACGGUAGCAUUUGCGCUGCAGCUCAAUUUAGUUAGUCUGGGCAGUUGGUUACAUGUGUCAUCAUUGUAUUGGUUGUGAAUAUUAUUCAGUUAGUCAGCUCAAUUUCUCUUUGCUUAGAUCUGUAUUUAUAAACAUGCGUAAUACAUUCUUUAAUUUGAGAAGUUCAUUCAAUAAAAUUUAGUCUUCUUCA